ACGUUAGCGGCGGACGGGUGAGUAACACGUGGGUAACCUACCUAUAAGACUGGGAUAACUCCGGGAAACCGGGGCUAAUACCGGAUAAUACAUGAAACCGCAUGGUUUCAUGAUGAAAGACGGUUUUGCUGUCACUUAUAGAUGGACCCGCGGCGUAUUAGCUAGUUGGUAAGGUAACGGCUUACCAAGGCAACGAUACGUAGCCGACCUGAGAGGGUGAUCGGCCACACUGGAACUGAGACACGGUCCAGACUCCUACGGGAGGCAGCAGUA
rnacentral:rRNA from 1 species